UCCAGAAACAUCAGUGAGUGCAGCUUGCAGGGAAAUCCAGAAAGCCGGCUGGCACGUGGAGAAUGGGGACGGGAGGCAGUGGAGGGGUCUGCGGGGCACAGCUGCUUCUGUGACUGGUGGUCCCUGGGUCACUGGUGGUCAGUGAGGCUUACAGUUGGGGAGACAGGGAGAACAAGAGCAAGUUGUCAUCAAUCAGCACCUCCUUGCCUGUCUCUCCCCAGGACAGCCACAAGGACUUUCGGGGGUCGUGGCAGCUGCUCCACUUCCAACUUCCAGAUCCCUCUCACUUUCCUCUUCCCACCAACUCCAACCUGGGACCAAGCAGGGGAAAGCAGCUGCAGCCCAGCUUGACGCCCCUGCAAAUGGAGACCUGUGCACCUGGUUGUGAGCAUUUUAAAGGGUGUCACACAGGGCAUACCCUUCGGUGCCUGGAUUCCUUUGGUUUACAUCCAGCAGGAGUUGGCCCUGAGCUCUGAGUCCAGAUCAUUGCUCUUGGCUGAAGCAGCCUGUCUACUCACAAAGAUGAGCAUGGUCCCUGCCACGAGGAAACUCGUGGUCCUGUGGACUGCGGUGUGGAGGGAAAGCUUGGGAUUCUGAGCCUGAUAAUGCACCAUUACAUCCCCACUCACUCGGGCUGUGUGAACCCAGCAAGUCACAGGAUCACUGGGUGGUGAAAGAAAGAAACACUCACAGAAGCGUCUGUGCUUGGAGAGCCAUCUGGUCCGUCAUUGUGACUGCUGCUCUCAUUGCUAUCAUGGGUGUCACCAUUGCCAUCACUCAAGGACUUCUCUCCAGGCCCCGAAGCCAAGCUGGUGCCUGGUUCCUCUGGGUUGGGAGAGGGGCUGGGCAUGGACAGGAGGAGGGAAAAGGGACCUGUGCUAGCAGGUGAUGCCAUCCAAGACAUCUGCAUCCUAAUCCCUGGAACCUGGGAUUCCACUAGGUGCCAUGGCAAAGAGGGAUUAAGGUGGCAGGUGGAGUGAAGGUUGCUAAUCAGCCGACCUUAAAGUAGGGAGAUGAUCCUGAAUGAGACAAAAGAGAGAACCAGUCAUGGUGUCAUGAGAAGGACUCAAAAUGCAACUGCUGACUUUGAAGAUUAAGGGGCUACAAACCAAGGAACGUGGUAGUCUCUGGAAAAGACAAGGAAUAGACGCUGCGUUGGGGCCACCAGAAGGAACCAGCCCUGUCAACACCCUAAUUUUAGCCCAGUGAGGCCUGUGCUGGACUUCUGACCUCCAGAACUGUAAACUAAUAAAUGUGUGUUGUUUCUGCCACUAGAUUUGUGGGAAUUUGUUAGGGCAGGCAUAAGAAACUGAUACUGUGGUAUUCCCUGCUGUGUCCCCAGGACCUCGUGGCCAGUAGGCUCACAAAAAAUAUCUAUUUAAUGGACAAACAUCGUGAAGGAAAUGCUUUUCUGUGAGCCUACCGUGUGCCAGUUUUUUGACACUGUGUGAGUUGUCAGAUUCAGCAAAUAAAAAUACAGAAUGCCCA
ensembl:lncRNA LINC00917 long intergenic non-protein coding RNA 917